UUUCAUGAUUGGUCUGACUGAGUACGACAACGUUUAGCACAAUGCACUCUUGGGCAUCAGGGAUUGUCCGCGAAGCAGCUUGUUACAGGAGGGAAAUCUCAGAAAGUCACCACUUUGUGAAAGCCUUUCUCAGAAUUUCACCUCCACAGAUGCUGCCCAUGGACUCGCAAUGAGGACAGAGGAAAGGAAAUGGAGGACAGCAAUGGCAGGGAGAGAAGUCGACUAAACCAGAGGAAACAGGGAGACUCUGAAAGUAAAACUCCAAUUAAGAGCAUGAUGAAAUAUUUUCAAGUAAUCAGAAUGAAUAAUUAGCAAAUUAUGGGAGUAUUGAAAUCUCAAACAAUAUCUAAUUUAGUUGAAAGUAUCUCAAAUUAAGUCAAUUACCAACAGAGAAAUUUAAGUUCAUGACAGUGAUUUUGCUUU